ACCAGUGAUCAACAGUAUCAUGAAAGACACACGACCUCGCCAGACAUGUCAAAGAUAAAAUUAUGAAGAGCUUUCAAACAGGUUUAGUUUAUAUCUCUAUAUUUUUUUAAAGCCCAAGCUUUGAAAAUGUCAGGAGGCGCCAUUUAAUCUAUCAUCCAAAAACUGGAAAAUAUACCGCACAACCACAAACCUACCAAGCCAUGGCUGGUUUCCAAAACUGAGAGCAAGCGAAGAGAGUACUGAUCAGAGACAGACGGCAUGUUCACUCUGGAGGCGCUGCAGAAAUCCACAGCUCAGUUGCUGACUCCACCCUGGAUUGGUGACAGCCACUCACAAAUGAUCACUAAACAAGGCGCUGUGAAAGAAUCGAACCCACGCCAGCUGCACAACUCAAGGGGGGUCAAAAAGAGGAUGUCAUUUGGGAUUUGCCCCAACGCCCAAGAUAGCCAACGAUGGAACUUUAGCCCGCGAGGAAUUUUAGCACGUUCACUCGGCGGUGAAGUGACACGCCAGAGAGGCGCUGUGGCGGGCAGACAUCAAGGACGGACUUGGGCGGCUCCUCCAACCUGGAAUCCAAUUCCAUGCCUUGACACCGUGUGGAAUUAGCUUAGAACAGGCCGGGUUUUGCUUGGAUUCAUUUGGAUGUGGACCCGGUUUUCAAUUCCAUG